UCUAACCAAAAGAAAAAAAAAAGAAAUUCUCACCAAAUACUCAUAUCUCCAUUACUCUCCCACACCAACCACUAAACUCCCAUCCUGGGAGAGAUGCAACAAACUCAGAUCCAGGCGAGGAACCAAGCGGUGAUAGAUCUGUCGCAGCAGUCUCCACCAUCGAGUCUCUCCGUUUAGAGAAUUGCCGUCUUCGUCUGGCCAGCGUCGCUGCCGACCCACCGUCCUCUUCUCCGAGCUUUGUUGUUUCGCCGUCCUUUUCUCCAACCCUCCCCUUCGUGGCUUGCUGCUCCUCGUUAACAUCAUCUCCCUCUGCACUACCAUAGUCUCUCUUUAUGCUUCUUCUCUCCUUCUUCUGCUGCUGCCUCCUCUUCGUCUCUCUGCUCCUCCUCCUGCCUUCCUCCUCUGCUUUGUUCUACUGCCUCCUCCUCUCUCCCGUUUUUUCUAUUGAUCUUCUCAAAUGAGAACAACAAUACCACGCUCUCAUUCCAGUAUUUAUGCGUAUUAUCAAGUUCUAAAUACUAAAGUUAGGUAAUGUUUGCUUGGAUUUUACCUCUUGAUCAAUCAACUCUUUAUUGGGAAUCCAUUUUUCAGUAAUUUUUUUUAUAGAACCUUGCAACUGAACUUGGGAUUGAAUUUUGCUCUUCGGUGAGUCACACACUCUUUAAUUUUUGAUUGUUACGGAAACGUGUGAUAGGAGAAUUUAGAUCUAGAAAUGUGCCUUCAAACUUGGUAAGUUUCAACUUCUCUUUUUUUUUUUAAAUUUAUUUUACAAUCAAUAAUUAGUUUAAAUCCUUUGAAUUUAAGGCUGUACUAUUAAGGAGUGCAAUUGGGUUCUCCUCCAGUUGAUUUUUAUGUGCAGAUUGACACUGGCAGUGAUAUUUUCUGUAUUAGCUACAACUUUUUGGAUGGUUGUUCCCAAACAAGAGGUCUCUUAUGAAUUAUUUUAGUGAUAUUAUCUUAAGUUAUAAUUACACCAAGUUUUAUUUAAAUAAUAUGAUUUUUAUUUCUAUUUUAAUUCAUUUUUUUCGUUAACUAUGUUUUUAUAUUUUUAUGUUUUUAUAUUUUUAUGCCCACACGAUGUAAUUGUUGUGUAUGUAAACUAA